rnacentral:rRNA from 1 species
GACGAACGCUGGCGGCGUGCCUAAUACAUGCAAGUCGAGCGCAGGAAAUCGACGGAACCCUUCGGGGGGAAGUCGACGGAAUGAGCGGCGGACGGGUGAGUAACACGUAAAGAACCUGCCCUCAGGUCUGGGAUAACCACGAGAAAUCGGGGCUAAUACCGGAUGGGUCAUCGGACCGCAUGGUCCGAGGAUGAAAGGCGCUUCGGCGUCGCCUGGGGAUGGCUUUGCGGUGCAUUAGCUAGUUGGUGGGGUAAUGGCCCACCAAGGCGACGAGGCAUAGCCGACCUGAGCGGGUGAUCGGCCACACUGGGACUGAGACACGGCCCAGACUCCUACGGGAGGCAGCAGUAGGGAAUCUUCCACAAUGGACGAAAGUCUGAUGGAGCAACGCCGCGUGAACGAUGAAGGCCUUCGGGUCGUAAAGUUCUGUUGUAAGGGAAGAACAAGUGCCGCAGGCAAUGGCGGCACCUUGACGGUACCUUGCGAGAAAGCCACGGCUAACUACGUGCCAGCAGCCGCCGUAU